CUUGAACGCUGGCGGCAGGCCUAACACCUGCAAGUCGACCGAGUGGCGGACGGGUGAGUAAUGUCUUGAAAACUGCCUGAUGGAGGGGUAUAACUACUGGAAACGGUAGAUAAUACCUCAUACCAUGAUAUGUGCCCCGAUGGGAUUAGCUUGUUGGUGUGGUAACUGCUCACCAAGGCGACGAUCCCUAGCUGGUGUGAGAGGAUUACCAGCCACUCUGGAACUGAGACACGGUCCAGACUCCUACGGGAGGCAGCAGUGGGGAAUAUUGCACAAUGGGCGAAAGCCUGAUGCAGCCAUGACGCGUGUAUGAAGAAGGCCUUCGGGUUGUAAAGUACUUUCAGCGGGGAGGCGUUACCCGCAGAAGAAGCACCGGCUAACUCCGUGCCAGCAGCCGCGGUAAUUC
rnacentral:rRNA from 1 species